CCAGUUGCACAUGCGCAUUUAAAUCACCAUUCCUUUUCUCAAAAUGAUUUUCAGAAAUAUGAAAAAAAUUGACACAAAAAAAUUGUUUAGUUCCAAAAGGCGCUAAAUCCAAAAGUGUUUAGUUCCAAAAGGCGCUAAAUCCAAAAGUGUUUAGUUCCAAAAGGCGCUAUAUCCACCUUGUGUGAUUUGAUCAAUCAGAGCGCAGUAUUGUUCCAGUGACCCGGAUUGACAACAGCUUUUAGCUUGCUGCUUUCAUCGAGAUCGAUCCUAUUUCUGCAGUAUUUACAGUGUUUUGACAGUCUUUAGCUCACUUAGCAACAUGGAUGAGGGAGGGGUGCUAGUUGAGAGAACCAACAAUCCAAGAAAAAGGAAGCGAAAUGAAAAAUAAUGGGCCAAAAACCAGAACAAGGAAGAUCAUGACACCGCUCCUGGGAAGCAACCAGCCAUUGGAUGCCAGCACAUGCCUCACAGCUUUUCUAAGGCGUCUUUGCUGACAGAAGGAGACAUCACAUAUACUUUCCAGGACCGCUACAGAGACUCUAACAACCGCGGCAAGAUUCAUUCAUCACGUGCCACUUACAACUCAAUCCAGUCAUGCACCAUCAAGGAAAUGGUCCACAACCAAGGAGAGAGCGGAACUAUGCCCCAACAUUUCAAAUUACGACACAGCAAGGGGAAAAUGUGAAGAUGUGCUCCGGAAGAUUCAGAUCCAUCCUUGUACUUGGUAGGAAACGUCUGGGCAACCUAAUAAAGUACGCCUGCCAUUCAAAAUCACAGAGGCCAAACGCAUCUACGUGAGACCAGCUCCAGCCCCAGUCACUAUAGUAGUAUUAUAGCGCACCUGGAGAUGAGUACACCAUAUUGAAGAGAGGAAAGAGAUGGAGUACUCUUUGGGUCAAUCAGCUCCCAUUGCUGAAGCAGCAGGAUGUAGCAAAUCUUCUACGAGCGAUGGGGUGGAGCUACAAGUGGACCUGCUAGUAGGUUAUGGGCCACGCAACUUCAUUCAGGAAGUAGGUGCCUUUUACAAAGAGGUGUGCGCGCCUACUGAUGCAAUGGACGUAGAGAGUGAUGAGGACAAAGGCAUUAUUGCUUCCUAUGAAGAUUGACAUUUGAUUUUAUGCCUUUUACACAGUUAAUGGAUCAGUUUAAACCAUUUAAUUCAAGAACAGAGAAGGCUUUUAAAAUGUGCAUUCAUUGAGCAGUGCAGUUGGAAUCAGAUCCCGUUUCAUUACCCAUGUAUCCAUUUUGUUGUAAGUAGCGCUGGUUAUUAUUAAUGCAAAUUUACUAAACCAGAAUGCAUUCACACAGAUAAUUAAUAUUUGGCGCUUUGCUACCUUUACUGUAUAAUAACAACUAAUAGAUUGUGGCUAAUCUCACAACUUUACAGUAGAUUGUACUGAUAUUUUAUGGGUAGAGUUUUAUUGCUCCUAUUUCCAUUAGGAUGUUAACAAACAAUUAUUCAAAUAAUAUGUAUGCAUAAUCAGCACUCAAGUAUGUCUUUUAUCUGCUGUUUAUGAGGAGUCGGUUACAUUAUUGAACUAUGAAUAAUUUCCAUUGUAAGGUAUCUUCUUGUUGACAUUCAUAUGAUAUUGUUAAAGAAACUGUACAUUAAUUAUUUAUGUACUUGCCAAUUUUUGUAUGUCUUAAUUAACUCACCGUUUAUGACAUGAGAUAAUGAGUAAAGCAAAUUUACAAGAUUUUCAAAUUUCACACAAUACAAGUCUUUACUGCCUGUUUAUUUUGUCAAUUUAAAAAUGUGCUGAGUCACCCGAGUGGUUGUGUGUUUUUACAAGUUGAAUAGAGAGAACAUUUUUAUGAUUGAAGUUGCCCAUGUACUAACUAUUUGCGAAAUGUGAAACAUUUUGAUUGAAAUUAGUGUGGAGCGAAAACGUCUAGAAUGAUGAGAUGUGAGAAGUAUGUUCAACAUAAUGUAGGCUUUCAAUGUGUUAAAUGGAUAGAUAUGUGUGUGUUAGACCCUGAAUUAUAAUUAAAGAAGUAUGUUAUUACAUCCGAACAUCAUUCUUAAAACCAAAAAAAAAAAA